UACGGGGGGGGCAAGCGUUGUUCGGAAUUACUGGGCGUAAAGGGCUCGUAGGUGGCCAACUAAGUCAGACGUGAAAUCCCUCGGCUUAACCGGGGAACUGCGUCUGAUACUGGAUGGCUUGAGAUUGGGAGAGGGAUGCGGAAUUCAUGGUGUAGCAGUGAAAUGCGUAGAGAUCAUGAGGAAGACCAGUGGCGAAGGCGGCUCACUGGUCCGGUACUGACGCUGAUGUGCGAAAGCGUGGGGAGCAAACAGG
rnacentral:rRNA from 1 species